rnacentral:rRNA from 1 species
UACAGAGGUCUCAAGCGUUGUUCGGAUUCACUGGGCGUAAAGGGUGCGUAGGCGGGUCUUUAAGUCAGGGGUGAAAUCCUGGAGCUCAACUCCAGAACUGCCUUUGAUACUGAAGAUCUUGAGUUCGGGAGAGGUGAGUGGAACUGCGAGUGUAGAGGUGAAAUUCGUAGAUAUUCGCAAGAACACCAGUGGCGAAGGCGGCUCACUGGCCCGAUACUGACGCUGAGGCACGAAAGCGUGGGGAGCAAACAGGG